GAACUUAAGCAUAUCAAUAAGCGGAGGAAAAGAAACUAACAAGGAUUCCCCUAGUAACGGCGAGUGAAGCGGGAACAGCUCAAAUUUGAAAUCUCAGCGCAAGCUGCGAAUUGUAGUUUAGAGAAACGUUUUCGGGGCCGGCAGCCAGUACAAGUUCUUUGGAACAAGGCAUCACAGAGGGUGAAAAUCCCGUCUUUGACUGGCUGCUUGGUUCCAUGUGAUACGUUUUCCAAGAGUCGGUUUGUUUGGGAAUGCAGACCGAAAUGGGUGGUAAAUACCAUCUAAAGCUAAAUAUUGGCGAGAGACCGAUAGCGAACAAGUACCGUGAGGGAAAGAUGAAAAGAACUUUGAAAAGAGAGUUAAACAGUGCGUGAAAUUGUCAAAAGGGAAACGUUUAAAACCAGUAUUGCGGGCAGAAACUCAGGUUCCAUUUAUGGUGCUGUAUUUUCCUGUCGGCGAGUCAACAUCAGUUUUGCUUGGAGUAAAACGCCAGGGGAAGGUAGCCUUCGGGUGUUAUAGCCUCUGGUAAUGCUCUGGGCGGGACUGAGGACUGCAGCGUUCUUUGGGUUUACCACACCAACGCUUAGGAUGUUGACGAAAUGGUUUUAAGCGACCCGUCUUGAAACACGGACCAAGGAGUCUAACAUAUAUGCGAGUAUUUGGGUGGCAAACCCUUAUGCGUAAUGAAAGUGAAAAGGUGGGAUCCUUUGCUGGUGCACCAUCGACCGCGCCAGAUUAUUGCUAUCUCGGCGUGAGUAUGAGCAUACAUGUUGGGACCCGAAA
rnacentral:rRNA from 1 species